GAAGAUGAAUGUUGAGCUGUGUGCUACGAUCACAGACUUGCUGAGCAAUGCUGGAAUAUUCCUCCGUGAGCUCCGAGUUGAGUAAACACACAAAGUGUUUAAUGAUAGUUGCGUUCUCCACAGCAGAUACGGGUGUGGACACAGACCUGCCCAUCCAGUCCGGGAGGACUUAACCAACCUACCAAACCUAGGUAGAGGACAAUUGCUGGAUGUGAUGUCACACACAAUCUAAACCGGCUGAAUUGAGAUCCGGUUAACCUGUCUAACGAAACA